UCCCUGUUGCCAGGGCAGUCUGUUUAGAAAAAUACAACUAAACAAAAGGGUUGCGCUCGUUGAAGGACUUAACCUAACAUCUCACGACACGAGCUGACGACGGCCAUGCAACACCUGUCACUACGGCCCGAAGGCACUCUCUCCUUUCGGAGAAAUUAGUAGGAUGUCAAACCUGGGUAAGGUUCUUCGCUUACCAUCGAAUUAAACAACACGCUCCACCGCUUGUGCGGGUCCCCGUCAAUUCCUUUAUGUUUUAGUCUUGCGACCGUACUCCACAGGUGGGACGCUUAACGCGUUAGCUUCGCUACAAGAAGGGUCGAUACUUCUUACAGCUAGCGUCCAUAGUUUACAGCGUGGACUAC
rnacentral:misc_RNA from 1 species